UCCCGUAUGCGGUAGGUUGCCUUAGCCAUGUGAAUCUCCUUCGACGAGUCGAGUUGUUUGGGAAUGCAGCUCUAAAUGGGAGGUAAAUUUCUUCUAAAGCUAAAUACUGGCCAGAGACCGAUAGCGCACAAGUAGAGUGAUCGAAAGAUGAAAAGCACUUUGGAAAGAGAGUUAAAAAGUACGUGAAAUUGUUGAAAGGGAAGCGCUUGCAACCAGACUUGUCCGCAGUUGCUCAGCCGGUCUCCUGACCGGCGUACUCUUCUGCGGCCAGGCCAGCAUCAGUUCGGGCGGUCGGAUAAAGGCCUCGGGAAUGUAGCUCCUCUCGGGGAGUGUUAUAGCCCGGGGUGGAAUGCGACCAGCCUGGACUGAGGAUCUCGCUUCGGCAAGGAUGCUGGCGUAAUGGUUGUAAGCGGCCCGUCUG
rnacentral:rRNA from 1 species